CAGUAGCCGCGGGAAUACGAAGGGGGCUAGCGUUACUCGGAAUUACUGGGCGUAAAGGGCGCGUAGGCGGCACGAUUAGUCAGGCGUGAAAUUCCUGGGCUCAACCUGGGGACUGCGCUUGAUACGGUCGAGCUAGAGGAUGGAAGAGGGUCGUGGAAUUCCCAGUGUAGAGGUGAAAUUCGUAGAUAUUGGGAAGAACACCGGUGGCGAAGGCGGCGACCUGGUCCAUUACUGACGCUGAGGCGCGACAGCGUGGGGAGCAAACAGGAUUAGAUACCCGCGUAGUCCCUGUCUCUUAUAC
rnacentral:rRNA from 1 species